UUUGGAAUAUUCCACAAUGGGCGCAAGCCUGAUGGAGCGACACCGCGUGAAGGACGAAGGUCUUCGGAUUGUAAACUUCUUUAGACCUAGAUGAAGACUUCAGGGCGAACAGUCCUGAAGUUUGACAGUAUAGGUAGAAUAAGCCACGGCUAACUCUGUGCCAGCAGCCGCGGUAAUACAGAGGUGGCAAACGUUGUCCGGAUUUAUUGGGUGUAAAGGGCAUGUAGGUGGUUCUAUAAGUCAAAGGUGAAAUGGCCCGGCUCAACCAGGUCAUUGCCUUUGAAACUGCAGAACUUGAGUACGGAAGAGGAAAGCGGAAUUCCCAGUGUAGCGGUGAAAUGCGUAGAUAUUGGGAGGAACACCGGUGGCGAAGGCGGCUUUCUGGUCCGAAACUGACACUGAGAUGCGAAAGCCAGGGGAGCAAACGGGAUUAGAUACCCCCGUAGUCC
rnacentral:rRNA from 1 species